GGGCACGGCCGCAGUUCCCUCCUUGGCUCCGCAGUGGGAAGCAGCGGCUGCACCUCCUCUCCUCUCUGCACCCUUGGGUUUCUCAGCCCAGCGUGUGAACGCUGUCUGCACCACCCUUUUUUAUUUCCCCCCCCCCAACCAAGUGUAUUUUUAUAGACUUGGAACCAGGGACCGGCACAACCACUGCUUGUGGAUAGUAUGGUUAAAAUGUCAUAAAUUUUUGUUUUAAACUUAUCUAGCUGAUGGCUUUGGUGUUUGAUGGUUUUGUUUUGGGUCCCAGUUGGUUGGUUCGUUUGUUUUCCCCAAAAUAUAGCGGAUGGCUACGGCAAUGGAGCUGGUGAAGGGAUUAGAGAACAUCUUUGAGGAGCGGCUGAGGGAGCUGGGGUUGUUCAGCCUAGAGAAAAGGAGGCUCAGGGGGAACCUUAUUACUCUCUACAACUCCUUGAAAGGAGGAUAUAGCCAGGUGAGAGCUGACAUGUAACAAGUGACAGGACAAGAGGACACAGUCUUAAGCUGCAGCAGGGGAGGUUUAGGUUGGACAUUAGGAAGCAUUUCUUCAGAGAAAGGGUGAUUAGGCAUUGGAAUGGGCUGCCCAGGGCAAUGGUGGAGUCACCAUGCCUGGAGGUGUUUAAGGAAAGACUGGACCUGGCACUCAGGGCCAUAGUCUGGUUUAACACGGUAGUGUUGGGUCAAAGAUUGGACUCGAUGAUCUCAGAGGUGCUUUUCCAGCAUAAUUGAUCCUGUGAUUCUGUAAUGGUGUUAAUAUGGCUAUUGCACUUGAAAAUACUCUCCACUGUUUCUCCUGUAUUUCUGGCACAAAAAAAAAAAAAAAAGGUGACUUAUAUGAGCAGCAGCCCUCCUGUGUUGAUAUGGCCAAAUCCCUCUGAGGUACAGUUUGUUUGGUUAUUUUUUAGGAAAUGAGCUCGAGGACAGUUUGAGAGCUGGUUGCUUUGGUGGAUAAGUCACAUCCCUCCUUUUAGUGCAGCACCCAAGCCUGGACACUGCUACAACUGAGGCCUCAACAGUGCCAGCAUCUGCUGUCCUGCCUGUCACAGACCACAUUCCUGUGUACAUGUGCCAACACAAAUACUUGGGAGUCAGUCUGAUCUAUCCACAGUCUUGCUGACCUGUCUUACCCCCGCAUCCAUUUCUGCUGACCUACCAAGCCAGUUAUUUCUCCCUCAAGUAGACAGUAAUGCUGCUUGAGAAAUUACUUCCUGCAGCGGCCCUAAUGCUAUGCCUUCAGUUUUAUUGCUGGAUAAUCAAGCAGUCAAAACACAUUUUGGAAUAAAAUUCCACAUGAUGUUAAGUCAGAAAACUGUAGAAUUUGCCAUCCUUUGUAAAUUGAUUGCAUUUCUCGCAAGAAUUGUAUUUGAAAAAGCAGAACUUAGAUUGAACUGUGCCGUGGUUACAGAAAGGUUGUGUAACUAAGUUUAGAAGAGAGAUUUGUACAUGUUUUUAAAUAUUUUAAACUUGAAAUUCACUUAAACUAAAGCAGCUAAAAUAAUGUAAGUGUUAGCAAGAAUUGAUAAUGAAGAAUGUAGGUCAAGGACAGGGUGGUGUUAUACCAAUAAAAGGUAAAAUAUGGUGGAAACAGUGUAACUUCCCAUCAGUGAGGGACAGAACCUUGCAGACAAACAUGUUUUGCUGUUAUAUGCACUUAAUUCUGUUAGUUGUGUUUUGUCAGUGACAUACUUUCAUUCUCAGUUUUGUUCACUGUCCUGUGUGCUGCUUUUGAUGUGAACAGUGCAAUGAGCAGCUCGGAAAGUUAUUGCCAGCAUACUCUGCAGAAGGGAAGUUCUAGCACAGCCUGAUGGCUACACUGGCACUUCAGGUGCAGUUGAGCAAGUCAUUUUACAUGAUUGUACUUCACUCUUCCCAGUAUGAGAAGAAAUCCGUCUUUGUAAAACACUAAAAAUCUAAAAUUGAAGCCUAUGAUGUGGGUAUCUAUUCAAAUAAGUGCCACAGAAGGGAUAAAAAUCAACACUGCUGUCCAAGUCCUGUGCACACAGAGGUUUUUACUCCUCAUUCUGCCUUCGUGUAACAGCUACAGAAUUAGUUCUUCAGUACAGCUGAGCAAGCUGGUAAAUAAUGCAUUCCGCUAGUUUAUUUCUUAGAUGGUCAUCAUGUGGUAUGUUUGGUCCAUUUUGCUUGUGUAAAGCAUUUCUAUGAUGUGUUUUACAUCAGUUGAUGUUUGGAUGGUAACAAUUCGAGAAAAAUACAGGCUUUGUCAGUGAAUAAACAGAAAUCUUACCUUUUCUGUUUCGCUUGGCCAUCAGAUUUUGCAGAGUAGGCUUCCCACUUAUUUCCAGAUCGCUUUCUUUUUCCUCCUUUAAUCUGUGAAGUCCUCAUCUGUGAGGAGAUUUAAGAGCACAAUAUAAGAUAUGAAUGUAAAACUGCUGAUAUUUCAAAGGGGAACUUGUCCUUCUCCUAUUCUCUGUAUGGUCUGCAUUUUGUAAAAAUUGCUACUUUAGAAAAAAUGGAUAAGUGAAUUCCAAGGACAGAUGGAGAAGAACUAAGUACAACAGGUGUUUUACAUAGAUGUGUAUCUCUAUAUGUUUGUAUAUGUGUUUGUAUAAAUACAUAUAAUACCAAUUUGCAAGAAUAAAAAUUGACUUUCAUCAGAUAAAGUUCACAUGACCAACAUCUCCCAUACAAGUGUGUGGGCAUAUAGAUGAAAAUAUGUGCACAGUCAGUACCUGCAGCCCUUCCUGGAGACUUACAAGCAAUAAUAAGUUCUUUUGAUCCGUGUUUCUCCACUGCUGUCGAAGGUACAAGACAAGCCUAUCCUUUUCAAAAGUGGCACUGCCUUACUCUCUCACAAAAGGGCUUUUUAAAAAAUAACUGGAGAGGAAUUUUGAGGGCCAGCUCCUUGCCAGUUCGGCACUGCGCUGUUUAGCACCCAGACACUCAGAACAGCAGUCAAGAGUCCUCCAAAACAGAGAUGUUUGUGCCAGUGACUCAGAUUUGUGCCACUUCACGUUUUUUUGUGUGUGUGAUUGAAGUUCCACUAUAGACCAUCUGUUAUGGCCACCCAGGCAGGAGUGCGGAGCUCUCAUCCACACUGGCAUUCUGCUCCCUACAUAGCAGCUUAUCAAACGGGAUUGCUACAGAGAUACCCCUGUGGAAGUCCUGCCCUGCUGAGUGAUAAACAUAAAUGGAUCUGGCUGGAGCUUGUAAACGUCUCACAUGGCACAUCUGACAUGUAUUUGUCUAGAGGAAGGGUCACAUAAUGCUCCAUAAAGGAUCUCCGAUAUGUCAAAAGGAGCAUUAUCGGGGGUACCAUGGGAUUAGUUCAGAUAUUCCCUGUUCCAAUACCAGUAAGCAAGAAAAGACUUGCUCUCCCCAGAGAACUAAUUAUUCAGACCGGCAGGAAAAAGACCAGAAAGAGAAAGCGUUAUGGAGGAAGCAGCAGAGCUGUUUGAAGAGGCAAAUCAGCAUGUGAACAAGGCUUUUCUGAUACAUCUUUUAACAAAAAUGAACACAGUGGAACACCACAUCAAAGUAACUGUCCUGCUCCAUCAGCGUGAUUGAAACGGCACAAUCUGUGAUUUUAUUUUUUUUUGUUGUUUACUUUUGAAUGAAAUUCACACCUAACAAGAAAGCAUUUCUACUUAAGUCUGUUUACCCUGCA